rnacentral:sRNA from 1 species
AGAGCUGAAGAGACCUGGAGCCGACAGACGAGGAAGAAUUCUCCUGCUUGUGGCAGGAAUGUGGCUUUUGUUCUCUGGACAGUUCUGCUGACCUCAUCCGCCAUGUCUACUUCCACUGCUACCACACCAAGCUGAAACAGUGGGGGCUGCAGGCCUUGCAAAGCCAGGCUGACCUUGGCCCCUGCAUCCUGGACUUCCAGAGCCGGAACGUCAUCCCUGAUAUCCCUGACCACUUCCUGUGUCUGUGGGAGCACUGUGAGAAUUCCUUCGACAAUCCUGAGUGGUUUUAUCGGCAUGUGGAAGCACACAGUCUGUGCUGUGAAUAUGAAGCAGUCGGCAAGGACAACCCGGUGGUGCUGUGUGGUUGGAAAGGCUGUACCUGCACCUUCAAGGACCGCAGUAAACUUCGGGAGCACCUCCGCAGCCAUACCCAGGAGAAAGUGGUAGCCUGCCCCACCUGUGGGGGCAUGUUUGCCAACAAUACCAAGUUCUUAGAUCACAUCCGUCGCCAGACCUCAUUGGAUCGUAAGUAGUCAGAGG